rnacentral:rRNA from 1 species
UACGGAGGGUGCAAGCGUUAUCCGGAUUCACUGGGUUUAAAGGGUGCGUAGGUGGCUUUGUAAGUUAGUGGUGAAAUCUUAGAGCUUAACUCUAAAACUGCCAUUGAUACUGCUUAGCUUGAAUCAAGUAGAGGUGGAUGGAAUAUUACAUGUAGCGGUGAAAUGCUUAGAUAUGUAAUAGAACACCGAUUGCGAAGGCAGUUCACUAUGCUUGUAUUGACACUGAGGCACGAAAGCCUGGGGAGCGAACAGG